rnacentral:rRNA from 1 species
GAUGAACGCUAGCGACAGGCUUAACACAUGCAAGUCGAGGGGCAGCGGGGGAGUAGCAAUACUCCCGCCGGCGACCGGCGCACGGGUGAGUAACACGUAUGAAACCUGCCCGUAGCAGGGGGAUAAGCGGAAGAAAUUCCGUCUAAUACCGCGUGACGCGGCGCCGGGGCAUCCCGGUGCCGCCAAAGGGAUUACCGGUGGCGGAUGGGCAUGCGGCGCAUUAGCUAGUCGGCGGGGUAACGGCCCACCGAGGCGACGAUGCGUAGGGGUUCUGAGAGGAAGGUCCCCCACACUGGUACUGAGACACGGACCAG